GGAGGUAGCAAUACCUUAGUAAAGCGGCGCACGGGUGAGUAACACGUGGAUAACCUGCCUCGAAGUGGGGAAUAACCCCGGGAAACCGGAGCUAAUACCGCAUAACCUGACGAGAUCUGUGGAUUUUGUCAGUAAAGGAGCAAUUCGCUUUGAGAGGGGUCCGCGGCUGAUUAGCUAGUUGGUGAGGUAAUGGCUCACCAAGGCCACGAUCAGUAGCCGGUCUGAGAGGACGGUCGGCCACACUGGAACUGAGACACGGUCCAGACUCCUACGGGAGGCAGCAGUGGGGAAUUUUUCGCAAUGGGGGCAACCCUGACGAAGCAACGCCGCGUGGGUGAUGAAGUAUCUCGGUACGUAAAACCCUUUCGACGGGGACGAAACCGCAAGGUUGACGGUACCCGUAGAAGAAGCCCCGGCUAACUCCGUGCCAGCAGCCGCGGUAAUACGGGGGGGGCAAGCGUUGUUCGGAAUUACUGGGCGUAAAGGGCGCGUAGGCGGUUCGCUAAGUUGGAUGUGAAAACUCUGGGCUUAACCCAGAGCCUGCAUCCAAAACUGGCAAACUUGAGUACUGGAGGGGAAAGCGGAAUUCCUGGUGUAGCGGUGAAAUGCGUAGAUAUCAGGAGGAACACCGGUGGCGAAGGCGGCUUUCUGGACAGUAACUGACGCUGAGGCGCGAAAGCUAGGGGAGCAAACAGGAUUAGAUACCCUGGUAGUCCUAGCCCUAAACGAUGGAUACUUGGUGUGAGGGGGAUUGAAUCCCUUCGUGCCGUAGCUAACGCAAUAAGUAUCCCGCCUGGGGAGUACGGUCGCAAGGCUGAAACUC
rnacentral:rRNA from 1 species